UACGCAGGUGGCAAGCGUUGUCCGGAAUUAUUGGGCGUAAAGCGCGCGCAGGCGGCCUUUUAAGUCUGAUGUGAAAGCCCACGGCUCAACCGUGGAAGGUCAUUGGAAACUGAAAGGCUUGAGUACAGAAGAGGAAAGCGGAAUUCCACGUGUAGCGGUGAAAUGCGUAGAGAUGUGGAGGAACACCAGUGGCGAAGGCGGCUUUCUGGUCUGUAACUGACGCUGGAGGCGCGAAAGCGUGGGGAGCAAACAGG
rnacentral:rRNA from 1 species